rnacentral:lncRNA from 1 species
GUGGGGACCAAGCGUCGGUCAUGCACUUCCCACACCAAUGGGUUCCCUCUUAGCCUUUGGCGUUGGCCCAAAUCAAGGUGUGCCGCCUUGACCGAAUGUAGAUAGCGCUAAGUCAAAAGGGAUAAUCGGCACUUUGCUCCUCCAAACUCCAAGUAUGCUCGGCUAUGGAUGGAGUCUUGCACUCCUCCUCGGAAUCUAAAGCUUUGCUUGCCAAUAAANNNNNNNNNNNNNNNNNNNNUCAAGGUGUGCCGCCUUGACCGAAUGUAGAUAGCGCCAAGUAAAAGGGAUAAUCGGCACUUUUGCUCCUCCAAACUCCAAGUAUGCUCGGCUAUGGAUGGAGUCUUGCACUCCUCUUCGGAAUCUAAAGUCUUGCUUGCCAAUGAAGACAACUCAUUUGAGAAUGCAGAGGCAUCAAAGGCAACUUUGAUUCAAUUUGAAAAGGAAAUACAAUAUCUAAGGAGGGAUUGAUGGUUCCCUUCCUUAGCCAAAUCCAAGGGGGGUUGAUGUACCCUGCCUUGGCCCAAGUCCCUUAGGACCGAAAUUAGGCAAUAAUGCCUACCCAAGCCUAUGGCCG